rnacentral:rRNA from 1 species
GACUCUCGGCAACGGAUAUCUCGGCUCUCGCAUCGAUGAAGGACGCAGCA